rnacentral:lncRNA from 1 species
GACGUCGAGCGGCAUUCGUUGGCGCUCCCCCUUCCCCCGACCGUGCGGGCGGCAUGUGGUGGGGGCUUUGGGCGACGGUCACGGUGGGUGGCCUGAUGCCCCUGGCUGCUCGUCAGAUGUGGAGGCCUAUGCCUUUUCCCGCUGGAUCUGGGUCGUGGCGGUCGCUGGUCGUCGGAUCUGUUGAAGGUUGGGAUGUUGGAGUUGCGAGCUCGGACCGGGAGAAAUCUUUGGCCGGCUG